rnacentral:rRNA from 1 species
ACGGGAGGCAGCAGUGGGGGAUAUUGCACAAUGGGGGAAACCCUGAUGCAGCGACGCCGCGUGGAGGAAGAAGGUUUUCGGAUUGUAAACUCCUGUCGUUAGGGACGAUAAUGACGGUACUAACAAGAAAGCACCGGCUAACUACGUGCCAGCAGCCGCGGUAAAACGUAGGGUGCAAGCGUUGUCCGGAAUUACUGGGUGUAAAGGGAGCGCAGGCGGACCGGCAAGUUGGAAGUGAAAACUAUGGGCUUAACCCAUAAAUUGCUUUCAAAACUGCUGGCCUUGAGUAGUGCAGAGGUAGGUGGAAUUCCCGGUGUAGCGGUGGAAUGCGUAGAUAUCGGGAGGAACACCAGUGGCGAAGGCGACCUACUGGGCACCAACUGACGCUGAGGCUCGAAAGCAUGGGUAGCAAACAGGAUUAGAUACCCUGGUAGUCCAUGCCGUAAACGAUGAUUACUAGGUGUUGGAGGAUUGACCCCUUCAGUGCC